rnacentral:rRNA from 1 species
GACGAACGCUGGCGGCGUGCUUAACACAUGCCAGUCGAACGGAAAGGCCCUGCUUUUGUGGGGUGCUCGAGUGGCGAACGGGUGAGUAACACGUGAGUAACCUGCCCUUGACUUUGGGAUAACUUCAGGAAACUGGGGCUAAUACCGGAUAGGAGCUCCUGCUGCAUGGUGGGGGUUGGAAAGUUUCGGCGGUUGGGGAUGGACUCGCGGCUUAUCAGCUUGUUGGUGGGGUAGUGGCUUACCAAGGCUUUGACGGGUAGCCGGCCUGAGAGGGUGACCGGCCACAUUGGGACUGAGAUACGGCCCAGACUCCUACGGGAGGCAGCAGUGGGGAAUAUUGCACAAUGGGCGGAAGCCUGAUGCAGCAACGCCGCGUGCGGGAUGACGGCCUUCGGGUUGUAAACCGCCUUCGCCUGUGACGAAGCGUGAGUGACGGGAAUGGGUAAAGAAGCACCGGCUAACUACGU